UUGUGUAGCCAUAACUCCUUGAGAAUGCCUGAUCUUGUCGGAUCUGCGAAGCUAAGCAGUGUUGGGCCUUGUUACUAGAUGAUAGGCCACCGAGACCACCAGGUGCUGUAGCGG
rnacentral:rRNA from 1 species